UGGGGAAUAUUGCACAAUGGGCGCAAGCCUGAUGCAGCCAUGCCGCGUGUAUGAAGAAGGCCUUCGGGUUGUAAAGUACUUUCAGCGGGGAGGAAGGUGUUGAGGUUAAUAACCUCAGCAAUUGACGUUACCCGCAGAAGAAGCACCGGCUAACUCCGUGCCAGCAGCCGCGGUAAUACGGAGGGCGCAAGCGUUAAUCGGAAUUACUGGGCGUAAAGCGCACGCAGGCGGUCUGUCAAGUCGGAUGUGAAAUCCCCGGGCUCAACCUGGGAACUGCAUUCGAAACUGGCAGGCUAGAGUCUUGUAGAGGGGGGUAGAAUUCCAGGUGUAGCGGUGAAAUGCGUAGAGAUCUGGAGGAAUACCGGUGGCGAAGGCGGCCCCCUGGACAAAGACUUACGCUCAGGUGCGAAAGCGUGGGGAGCAAACA
rnacentral:rRNA from 1 species